ACGCUGGCGGCGUAGCCUAACACAUGCAAGUCGAACGACCGAAUUGGAGCUUGCUCUAAUGAGGUUAGUGGCGGACGGGUGAGUAACGCGUGGAUAACCUGCCAUAUACUGGGGGAUAACAGCUGGAAACAGCUGCUAAUACCGCAUAAAACUGUAGAGUCGCAUGACUUUAUAGCCAAAGCUCCGGCGGUGUAUGAUGGAUCCGCGUCUGAUUAGGCAGUUGGCGGGGUAACGGCCCACCAAGGCGACGAUCAGUAGGGGUUCUGAGAGGAAGGUCCCCCACAUUGGAACUGAGACACGGUCCAAACUCCUACGGGAGGCAGCAGUGAGGAAUAUUGGUCAAUGGACGUAAGUCUGAACCAGCCAAGUAGCGUGCAGGAUGACGGCCCUAUGGGUUGUAAACUGCUUUUAUGCGGGGAUAAAGUGUGGGACGUGUCCCAUAUUGCAGGUACUGCAUGAAUAAGGACCGGCUAAUUCCGUG
rnacentral:rRNA from 1 species